rnacentral:lncRNA from 1 species
UUUAGUGGUUACAUCAAUCCCCCAACAACAAUGAAACUAGCUCUCCAUGAAUGGAGAGCUCAAGCUUACAACAAUGGUGGAAAUGGAAGAAAGAAGAGAACCCAAGGAAGAAGAAGGANUGUUCCCACAGCUCCUAGCUUGCUCCAAGAGCUCCCAAUCAGAGGAAAUGCGUCUGGGUAGCAAAAGAUCCCAAGUUCUUCGUGCAUCCAAGUGAAAUAGGGCAAAUCUGCCAUGUCAGCAAAGUUGGCGCUCAAGCCCCCCAAAACUGGGGCGCUCAGGCGCACGUCAGCCACUCUUCAGGAGCUGAUGCACUGGCGCUCGAGCCCCCCAAAACUGGGGGGGCUCGAGCCUGAUUUCAGCAGAAUUCUUAUUCUUCGUUUUUGCUGCUUUUUUUUUUUUUGCUUUUCUUGGUUUCUAGUGCCUUCCUUUGAUGCAUAGACUUCUUCCAAUUACCUUAAGCACAUAAAAGCAAGGAUUAGUGAACAAAAUAUCUCAUUAAAGCUUGGGGUACAACCACUUAAUCAAACUAAAAGAAAACAAGGAUUUACAAGGUAAAAAGUUAGGAAAGGGUUGACAAUUUCUCUUGAUUCAUCACUGAAAUCAUGGUAAAAUAUGUCAUUAUCACACGUGUAUUAUUAACCUUUUAAAAUAUAUUUUUGAUUAUUUUUAUAAAAGAGAAGGAAAAAGGCUUUUAGCACAAGGCCUACGCGAACGGUCGCACGUGUGCUUUAACCUUUUAAAACGUAUUUUUAUUAUUUUUUAUGAAAAAUAAAAGGGAAAAAAGUUUUUAGCACAAAGCCUACGCAAACGGUCUGUGCUUUAACCUUUUAAAACAUGUUUUUGUUUUUUUCAAUAUUUAUAUAAAAAGUAGAUAAAUAUUUAAAGUGGAGAAAAGGAAAAAGAAAAACAGAAAUAAAAUAAAUAAAUAAAAUAAAUAAAUAAAAAUAAAAAAUUAGAAAUACAAUAAAAAGUUAACUGACACAAUAAAUAAACAAAAUAAUAAGUAUAUAAAAAAGGGUGGAGGUGCUUAAAUAAGAAAAAGGGGUGUGCAAAUUAAAUUUAGUGCUAACAACUGAUUAGGCCAAAGCCUUAGUGAAAAGGGGGGUGAAAAUGAAAAACAGGGGCAUCUAAAACUACUUUUCUUUUGGUUUAAUACCUAUUUUGGUCCCUUUUUUGGGAGGGUUUGUUCAAAGUGGUCCCUCCUUUUUU